GAUGAACGCUGGCGGCGUGCCUAAUACAUGCAAGUCGAGCGAACAGACGAGGAGCUUGCUCCUCUGACGUUAGCGGCGGACGGGUGAGUAACACGUGGAUAACCUACCUAUAAGACUGGGAUAACUUCGGGAAACCGGAGCUAAUACCGGAUAAUAUAUUUAACCGCAUGGUUCAAUAGUGAAAGACGUUUUUGCUUUCACUUAUAGAUGGAUCCGCGCCGCAUUAGCUAGUUGGUAAGGUAACGGCUUACCAAGGCAACGAUGCGUAGCCGACCUGAGAGGGUGAUCGGCCACACUGGAACUGAGACACGGUCCAGACUCCUACGGGAGGCAGCAGUAGGGAAUCUUCCGCAAUGGGCGAAAGCCUGACGGAGCAACGCCGCGUGAGUGAUGAAGGUCUUCGGAUCGUAAAACUCUGUUAUUAGGGAAGAACAAAUGUGUAAGUAACUAUGCACGUCUUGACGGUACCUAAUCAGAAAGCCACGGCUAACUACGUG
rnacentral:rRNA from 1 species